UACGGAGGAUGCAAGCGUUAUCCGGAAUGAUUGGGCGUAAAGCGUCCGCAGGUGGCAGUUCAAGUCUGCUGUCAAAGACCGGGGCUUAACUUCGGAAAGGCAGUGGAAACUGAACAGCUAGAGUAUGGUAGGGGCAGAGGGAAUUCCUGGUGUAGCGGUGAAAUGCGUAGAGAUCAGGAAGAACAUCGGUGACGAAGGCGCUCUGCUGGACCAUAACUGACACUCAGGGACGAAAGCUAGGGGAGCGAAUGGG
rnacentral:rRNA from 1 species